GACGAACGCUGGCGGUGUGCUUAACACAUGCAAGUGGUGCGACGAACCAGGCUUCGGCCUGGGGCAAAGCCGCGAACGGGUGAGUAACACGUGGGUAAUCUGCCCCGAUGACCGGGACAACCCGAGGAAACUCGGGCUAAUACCGGAUGUGGUGCCUGGACAUAAGUCCGGUCACUAAGGGUAGCUUCGGCUUCCGCAUUGGGAUGGGCCCGCGGCCCAUUAGCUUGUUGGUGGGGUCAAGGCCUACCAAGGCAACGAUGGGUAGCUGGUCUGAGAGGACGAUCAGCCACACUGAGACGGGGACACGGCCCAGACUCCUACGGGAGGAAGCAGUGGGGAAUCUUGCGCAAUGCGGGAAAGCGUGACGCAGCAACACCGCGUGAGGGAAGACGGCCUUAGGGUUGUAAACCUCUUUCAGAUGGGACGAAGGUUGUCCGGUGAAUAGCCGAGAUGAUUGACGGUACCGUCAGAAGAAGCUCCGGCUAACUACGUGCCAGCCGCCGCGGUAAAAC
rnacentral:rRNA from 1 species